UCGCGCCAUUGCACUCCAGCCUGUGCAACAAGAGCGAAACUCCAUCUCAAAAAAAAAGAAAGGGUUCCUUCUUUAUGACAGUUUCCUCAGAGCCAUGACAUUAAUCAGGGUGGAGAAGGGAUGCCAGUAUUAAAAUAGCUAAGUAGGGUGGAGCACUGCCACCCAUUACCUCCACUGGGCAAUCCUUGAGUCUUUGGUUGGUAAGAAGAGUUGAAAAGAGGGACAGUGGCUAUGUUAGUGAUCAACCAGUUAAGAUUUCAAGAUAUGUGAGUUCAAAGCUGCAAUGAGCUAUGACCACUGCACUCCAGCCUGGACAACAGAGCAAGAGUAAGACUUUGUCUCUUUAAAUAUAUAUAUAUAUAGUCAGGUGACCGGUAGCUCACACCUGUAAUCUCAGCACUGUGAGAUGCCAGGAGUUUAAGACAAGCCUGGGCAACACAGCAAGACCCCAUCUCCACAUAAAAAUGUAAAAAUUAGCCAGGUAUGGUAGUACAUACCUAUACUUCCAGCUAUGUGGGAGUCUGAGGUGAGAGGAUUAUUGGAGCCCAGGAGUAUGAUCAUGCCACUGCACUCCAGCCUGACAGAGUAAGACCCUGUCUCUUAACAUAUAUAUAUAUAUAUGUAUGUAUGUAUGUUUAUAUAUAGUCACUUUAAAAGUCUGCCUUUGACUUUAUUAUCACUCUGCUUUCUCAGAUUUCUUAAGUCCUUAAAUUUCUCCCCCACUCUUAGGUGCUCCACACUAAGUUACUGAGUUCCCCUGUAUUUCCACCAGUUAUCCAGAGCGUUGGCCCUCUCUGAUAGGCAGCUUCUAAGAUGGCACCCAGUGACUAUUAUUUGUGCAGUGGUCCUCUUCCCUUGGGUAUGGCCUGGACCAAGUGACUCUCUUCUUAAAAAGGAAUACAGCAAAAGCAAUGAAAUGUCACUACUGAGAUUAGGGUACAAAAGAUGUUGACUUCUGUCUUGAGCAUUCUCACUCUCUCACUCACUCACUCUGAGGGAAACCAGCUGCCAUAUUGUGAGUUGGGGAAGCCCAUGUGAUGAGGAACUGGGGCCUCAGUUCAGCAACCUAAGAGGAAUAGCAGUCCACAUGAAGAGAACUUGGAAAUGAUCCUUGCCCCGUUGAGCACUCAGGAGACAGUGGGACUGACACCUUGAUUGUAGCCUUGUGAGAAACCUUGAGCCAGAGAUGCCCAGCUCAGCCAUGCUUGGAUUCCUGUCCCACAGAAACCGAGAAAUGUAUGUAACUCACCAUCUUGAGGUAUGGCAUCUGUGGAUCCAUGAUACCCAAGCAGGAAGGGAAUGUUCCCUACCCGCAAACAAAUACGGAACCCAAGAAAGGCUGAGUGCCCCUGGAAUCGUUGUAACUUUAUCCUUCCCCAGUGUGCAGAAGGGAAAGGGUGUUACGAGAAUCUUGCCUUCAUGUCAGGAUUUAGGAAGGCACGACCUCUUUUCUACACUCUAUCCAGAAUGUGAUGGUGACCUGGAAUGGUAAGGGCCCCACCAAGAAGACCUGUUUAUAGCACAGCUGUUACCUUCACCAUCCAACUGUGGCCUCGCUUUAGUUCCAGCUGUUUAUAUUAGUCAAAACUGUCCCUAACACCACAGCAUAGGCUGUGAGAACAAGAGGCUAGUGAGAAGGGAAGAUAUCCAGAGGAUUAAGAAGCAACCAAGCCAUGGCCUAUGUUCUUUUGACUUUAUCCCCAAAAGAACAACAGCUUAGCUGAUGGUACAGCCUUUGGCCCAAGAAAUGUAAAAGCCAUUCCUUCAGGUGCCUAUUUGCAUAUUUCUACACCCUGAGGGCUUUUUUCUUCUCCCACCUGUGGUAAAUGACUGUGUACACUGGACUGUAUUUACUGCCUAUCUGUUGUCAUCAUUGUCAUCAACUAACAUUUGUUGACCAUUAACAUGGUCUCAGAAACUGCCUGGGCACUCUAAUCCGUCAGCCUGUGCAUUCAUUAAAGUGAAGGAAAAUAAGCAGAGGCUUGACAUUCAGAAAUAAGAGCCCAGAAAUGAGUCCAGAAUUUCCGAUUCUAAAGCCAGUGCCAACUCCCAGGCCACACUCACUGCAUUUAAUGCAUAUGCAUUUUCUUUUCCUCACAUCUGCUCUUCCUUUGCAAGAAUGUCCCAGCCUGUGUACACACCCAUAUCCUGUUACCUCUCCAGAGUAAACGAUUUCCAGUUCCUGUGGAUAUUGCAUGUCACCACAUAGGAUUAAACAGCCUGAAUUUUUUUAUGUGCCCAUCUUUAGAAGCCUUAUAAGUAGAGAUUAAGAUGUUUAUCAAGAUUAGAAAUGCGGCUGGGCACAGUGGCUGACACCUCUAAUCCAGCACUUUGGGAGGCCGAGGUGGCAGAUCACUUAAGGUCAGGAGUUUGAGACCAGCCUGGUCAACAUGGCAAGACCCUGUCUCUACUAAAAAUACAAAAAUUAGCCAGGCGUGGUGGCAGGCACCUGUAAUCCUAGCUACUCGGGAGGAUGAGGCAGGAGAAUUGGUUGAACCCAGGAGGCGGAGGUUGCAGUGAGCCAAGAUCCCACCACUGCACUCCAGCCUGGGUGACAAAGUGAGACUCCAUCUCAUAAAUAAAUAAAUAGAUUAGAAAUGGUAUGUGAGCAAUAAAGAUGUUGUGUAUGCUUCUUGGAUAUUGUUGCUGACUCAAGACUUGAAAAGACUGGAGUCUUCAGGAAGAAUGGUACUGGUGGAAAAUGUUAUUUCCAUAAUAUGAAGUUGUGAGGUCAUCAAAAUCAGACAUACCUAAAAUUUUUAUAGUCCUGGUUCUUAGUUGAGGGGGGCAGUAUAAACUUAUCAAAAUCUUGGGAAUGUUUAAGAAGCACAAACACAUUUCUCACCUUCCUUUUCCCCACAAAAACCUGUGAGAACCAGGUUGGAUGGUGAACACUGGUUGAAUAUGUUGACAAAUAAACUUCCCAGGAUUCGACUUGACUCUGUCCCAACCCCCUAACCCCCCUGAGCACCACUGACCUGGGACUGAUCAUCUCCUUGUCUGUCAUGGAAUAUUAAUUGGACAUUAAGAUUUUUAGAUUUUUUUUUUUUUUGAGACAGGGUCUUACUCUGUUGCCCAGGCUGGAGUGCGGUGGCACAAUCACAGCUCACUGCAGCCUCUACCUUCUGGGCCCAUCUCCCACCUCAGCCUCCCAUGUAGCUGGGACCACAGGCAUGCGCCACCAUUCCUAGCUAAUGAAGAUACUCAGAAUGCUUCCAUUUUCUCAUGACUUCAUGUGUAUUAAAAAGUAGUGCUUACAUCAAAUUUCACUGUAGUCACUAUCCCAUUGGCUUUGAUUAAAUUACAAGCUUCUGUGUAGAAUGCCGUGAAAGGUUUUUGCGAAUUGCAGUAAUAGCCAUGGGGGGUGGGGGUGGGUGAUGAACAUGUUUUCUGCUGGGGUAGUAACUCAGAACUCUAGGCCUUUGGUACAGUUGAUCCUUAAUAAGACUUAGUUUCAGGUUGGAAACUGUUUGUUGAAGGUCAACAUUUUGUUGCUGCUUUUUCUGCUCAAAUGUAGUAUAGAAUCAUGUGGAGGAUAAAAUUUUGCUAGUUGUUCAGCGUAUCCAGAACAGAGUUCUGGCAGUUAAGGCGUACAAUACUCUUGUAUACCUCAAUGAUGGCGCUUUUUAAACAUUAGGGUAGUUUUAAAAAAUUGCAAUAAAGUCAUUGUAAUUCAUAGACCAUGCUGUAAUACAGAGAUACGUGUAAAAUACAAUCUGUGUACCUGAUUGCAGGUAACAGAGUUAAAUGUACCAGCAAUUUCAAACACAGUUUGAUAUUUCCUAUAAUAAAAUAUAAUGUAAAAAAUUAAAUAUCCAAUAUCAAUGGAUUCUAAAUGGUUUUGAUAUUUCUUUUUGUCCUUUCCCAUGAAGAGUAAUUUAUUUCCCUUUUUAAAGUGUGGGCAGAAUGAUUACUAGCGCACUGUAAUGUAAUUGUGUUGCAUUGAUAAAAUAAAAAUUGUCCUUUA